CAAUAGCGUAUAUUAAAGUUGUUGCAGUUAAAAAGCUCGUAGUUGGAUUUCUGGCCGAGUGUCCCCAGGCCAGCAUGACGUUUGGUCCUGGGCGCUCUGCCAUCCUUCUGUCAACCUUCGCCUCGUUCAUUCGUGGCGCUGGGGCUCAGAUAUUUUACCUUGAGAAAAUUAGAGUGUUUCAGGCAGGCUUUCGCCGGAAUACAUUAGCAUGGAAUAAUGGAAAAGGACUUCAACCUCUUCUGUUGGUCUGAGAGGCUGUAGUAAUGAUUAAUAGGGAUAGUUGGGGGCAUUCAUAAUUUAAUUGUCAGGAGGUAGUAAAUUCCUUGGUAUUUAAUGAAAGUAUGAACUUACUGCGUAAAGCCAAGUUUGCC
rnacentral:rRNA from 1 species